ACGUGGUGGAACCAUAGACAUAUAUGUCUAUGGGUAGAACAAUUUUUCAGGUCCAUGUCUGUGCCGAUGUCCGCAAAGAUAACCCUUCCGUUUCCAGGGGGAGAAAGAAAAAUGAGACCGAGUUCUUAAUCCAGGUUAUUGCCGAGUGCUAUUUGUGGCUACAAAGGUGUCUUCUGCACACUGGCUCAGAACAAAAAAGGUGAUAUGUUGUUGAAUGUGAAGAAAGUGAAUCGUGGAUUGUCCUGACUGACUGCCCUGAUUAGCAUAUUGCACGGUCAUCCCUAACGAGGCUCGUCAUAGUGUCACGCGACGUCAUUAGAGGUGAAGUGACAGCCCGCUGCGAGGUUCUGGCAGUGUCGGAAUUAACAUAUCCCAUCCCGACAUCGGCACAUUGUAGUGAAACCACGGCGAUUAAACGAGGCAACGGCAGAGGCAGAGGAGUGGAGAGAGAGCGUGCGGCCGAGGUCCGGCCGUACCCAGGCUGAGGUGUGGGCAGAAGCAGGCUCGUCUCCCCCCUUAUGCCGAGUCGCUCGGAGAACAAAAAGAUCAGGAGCGUGAUGAGUGUCUCUGGCUGCUCCGCAGGGAGAGAUGGGGAGCUUGAGUGAAGCCUUUGGCCGUUGGAGGUGAGAAGUGUUAAUCCUGCAUU